CAUGUCCUUUAGAAAAUAAUUUAAGGUCUAAUCUGCUCAAUGAUUAAUUAAAUAGCCGCAGUAUUUUAACUGUGCAAAGGUAGCAUAAUAAUUAGUUUCUUAAUUAGAGACUGGUAUGAAUGAUUGGACAAGAAAAUUUCUGUCUCUUUUUCAAUUUUUAUUGAAUUUUAUUUUUAAGUGAAAAAGCUUAAAUUUAUAUAAAAGACGAGAAGACCCUAUAGAGUUUAAUAAAUUUUUUUAGUAUGUUAUUAGAAUAGAUAUUUAAUUAAAAUUUAUUUAGUUGGGGUGACUUAAAGAUUAAAAAAAUUCUUUAAUAAAUUAAUUAGUGAUUUCUAAAUUGAUAAUCUAUAAUUUAUAAAAUUAAAAUAAAUUACCUUAGGGAUAACAGCGUAAUUUUUCUUUAAAGCUCUUAUUAAAAGAAAAGUUUGCGACCUCGAUGUUGGAUUAAAAUUAAUUUUUGGUGCAGUAACUUAAAAAUUAGGUCUGUUCGACCUUUAAAAUUUUACAUGAUCUGAGUUUAAACCGGUGUAAACCAGGUUGGAUUCUAUCUUUAGAUAUAUAAUAUAUUUUAGUACGAAAGGACCAAUUAUAUAUUAAAUUAAUUGU
rnacentral:rRNA from 1 species